UACGUAGGGUGCGCGCGUUAAUCGGAAUUACUGGGCGUAAAGCGUGCGCAGGCGGUUUUGUAAGUCCGAUGUGAAAUCCCCGGGCUCAACCUGGGAACUGCGUUUGAAACUACAAGGCUAGAGUGUAGCAGAGGGGGGUGGAAUUCCACGUGUAGCAGUGAAAUGCGUAGAGAUGUGGAGGAACACCGAUGGCGAAGGCAGCCCCCUGGGUUAACACUGACGCUCAGGCACGAAAGCGUGGGGAGCAAACAGG
rnacentral:rRNA from 1 species